GUUAUCAAAAUUCUCCGGCAAUUCCGAGAUGGAGGGUUGGGAUCCGAGUACCAAAUCAACCCUUACACAGAUCCCUUUGUUAACAAUCAAAGCUGGUCCACGUGACGGCGCGGCAUGGACACAGCGGCUGAAGGAAGAAUACAAGGCUCUAAUCGCCUAUACAUCAAUGAACAAAUCCAAAGAUAAUGAUUGGUUCCGUAUAUCUGCGGCUAAUCCUGAAGGUACUCGUUGGAAGGGGAAGUGUUGGUAUGUGCAUAACCUUCUCAAGUACGAGUUUGACCUCCAGUUUGAUAUCCCUGUUACUUACCCUGCUACCGCUCCUGAACUUGAGUUGCCUGAACUUGAUGGCAAGACUGAAAAGAUGUACAGAGGAGGGAAAAUAUGCUUGACUGUGCAUUUCAAGCCGCUAUGGGCAAAGAAUUGCCCCAGAUUUGGCAUUGCACACGCGCUUUGUUUGGGUCUUGCACCAUGGCUUGCAGCUGAGAUUCCUGUUCUUGUUGAUUCUGGCAUGAUUAAACACAAAGAUGAUGUGGCCACAUCCAGUGAAUCUUGACAAGGGGAUGAUUUUUAGCAUGAUGAAACCUAAUCACCAAGAUAAAACUGUAAACUUAAUGGAGUUACUUGAAAGUGUAAUUUUCCCCUCACUUUGAGGAGUCAUAGUUUCAUGUUAUGUAAGCCGGGUGAACCCGGCUCUUUGAGAUGCAACUGUCACAUCUGCUGAUUUAUUUUAACGUGCUUUAUGCCCUCAAAUUUUAU
rnacentral:misc_RNA from 1 species